UUUAAAACCUUUGCAAUAGUUUAACAUGGCACUUAAAUAAUUACAUAAUAAUAGAAACCCUUAAUAUGCAUAUACAAAUUAAAUAUUAAUUUAAAUACUGGUGCAGCGAACCCACUAAUAACAUCCCUAAGGCGCAGAUACGACAUUAAAUAGGUGAGAAGAUGGAUUCCAGUUCGAUUAAGAAUAUUUUCUGCUCCAAAUUUGAGCUGUCAGAAGUCGUGUUCUUCUGCGUGGCUUUUACAUUUAUGCUGAUCAUUCUUUCCCAGGCCAGCAGGAUGUUAUCCUCCGAAUUUAUACGGCUAUGCUGAUAAUGCAAAAAUACCCUGGAAACAGAGACCACAUAUUAAUAAUAAUUUUGAUGUGCUUUACACUUUUAUUCAUAGCAUACAAAGACUCAUGUAGAAAAUACUUCC